rnacentral:pre_miRNA from 1 species
UUCAAUUGCAGAUGCGGGUUUUCAUGUCGAACGUUUGACCAUUGGUCUUAUUUUAAAUUUCUUAUAAUUAGUAUUUUUAUUGUUGUUAGAUGAUAGAACAAGAAUAGUGUUGACUUAUUUUUUAAAAUUAUUUCAUAAAUUUUUUAAUAAUAUGGACACUCAAAUAUUAGAUACGGAAACUCACAAUUACACUUAAA